rnacentral:lncRNA from 1 species
CGUUUCGUAAAACAAAUAUUUUUUUCAUAAAAACCUAUUAGUUUAUUACUAACAUUUAUCGACCAAUUCAAACCUUUUGCAAAAAACAAUAAAUAUUAUAAAAAAAAUACAAAAAACAUUUAGUUCAUAAAAAAUAUAAAAUAUAAAUAUUCUAAUUAAUACUUUCUAAUUUCAAAAAUACAAAUAAUCUCUUUUUUACAAUAAAAC